CCUACGGGUGGCAGCAGUGGGGAAUAUUGGACAAUGGGCGAAAGCCUGAUCCAGCCAUGCCGCGUGUGUGAAGAAGGCCUUCGGGUUGUAAAGCACUUUCAGUGGGGAAGAAAGCCUUGGGGCUAAUACCCUCGAGGAAGGACAUCACCCACAGAAGAAGCACCGGCUAACUACGUGCCAGCAGCCGCGGUAAUACGGAGGGUGCGAGCGUUAAUCGGAAUUACUGGGCGUAAAGCGCGCGUAGGCGGUCUGAUAAGCCGGUUGUGAAAGCCCCGGGCUCAACCUGGGAACGGCAUCCGGAACUGUCAGGCUAGAGUGCAGGAGAGGAAGGUAGAAUUCCCGGUGUAGCGGUGAAAUGCGUAGAGAUCGGGAGGAAUACCAGUGGCGAAGGCGGCCUUCUGGACUGACACUGACGCUGAGGUGCGAAAGCGUGGGUAGCAAACAGGAUUAGAUACCCUAGUAGUC
rnacentral:rRNA from 1 species